AAUAGAUACCCAGGUAGUCCACGCCGUAAACGAUGGAUACUAGCUGUAGGGGGUAUCGACCCCCUCUGUAGCGAAGCUAACGCGUUAAGUAUCCCGCCUGUGGAGUACGGUCGCAAGACUAAAACAUAAAGGAAUUGACGGGGACCCGCACAAGCGGUGGAUCAUGUUCUUUAAUUCGAUGCUAAACGAAGAACCUUACCAGGGUUUGACAUCCCGAGAAUUUUGCCGAAAGGCGAGAGUGCUUUAUUGAACUCGGUGACAGAUGAUGCAUGGCCGUCGUCAGCUCGUGUCGUGAGAUGUUUGGUUAAGUCCAUCAACGAGCGCAACCCUUGUGAUUAGUUGUAUUUUUCUAAUCAGACUGCCCCGGUAACGGGGAGGAAGGAGGGGAUGAUGUCAGGUCAGUAUUUCUCUUACAUCCUGGGCUAGAAACGUGAUACAAUGGCCGAUACAAUGCGCAUACGCCAACCCGCGAGGGGAGCAAAUCGCAUCAAAGUCGGUCCCAGUUCGGAUAAGAGGCUGAAACUCGCCUCUUUGAAGUCGG
rnacentral:rRNA from 1 species